rnacentral:rRNA from 1 species
AACAGCUGCGGUAUUAUAACUGUACUAAGGUAGCAUAAUAAUUUGCCUUAUAAAUUAGGGCUAGAAUGAAUGGUUUGACGAAAAUUAAGCUGUCUCUAUUUUAUUUAUUAGAAAUUAAUUUUUAUAGUGAAAAAGCUUUAAUGAUUUAAAGGGACGAGAAGACCCUAUUGAGCUUUAUAUUAAUGUUUGAAUAUAAGGGUGAAUGAUUUAAGUACUUAAUUGUUUGUUUAUUAUAUAAAUGUUUAUUUUUGUUUAAUUUUGAUUGGGGUGAUCAAGGAAUAAAAGAGGAAAUACAAUAACUUCCUUAAGAAAUUAGUUUUAUUGAGUAAUAAACCAAAUUUUUUGCUUAUAAGAUAAGUUACCGUAGGGGUAACAGCGUAAUUUUUUUUGAGAGUUCAUAUUGAAAAAAGAGAUUGCGACCUCGAUGUUGGAUUAAAAAUAACCUUAGGGUGUAGAGGCUCUAUUAGGUGAAUCUGUUCGAUUUUUAAAAUUUU